CUACGGGUUGCUCCAGUGGGGAAUAUUGCACAAUGGGCGCAAGCCUGAUGCAGCCAUGCCGCGUGUAUGAAGAAGGCCUUCGGGUUGUAAAGUACUUUCAGCGGGGAGGAAGGGAGUAAAGUUAAUACCUUUGCUCAUUGACGUUACCCGCAGAAGAAGCACCGGCUAACUCCGUGCCAGCAGCCGCGGUAAUACGGAGGGUGCAAGCGUUAAUCGGAAUUACUGGGCGUAAAGCGCACGCAGGCGGUUUGUUAAGUCAGAUGUGAAAUCCCCGGGCUCAACCUGGGAACUGCAUCUGAUUCUGGCAAGCCUGAGUCUCGUAGAGGGGGGUAGAAUUCCAGGUGUAGCGGUGAAAUGCGUAGAGAUCUGGAGGAAUACCGGUGGCGAAGGCGGCCCCCUGGACGAAGACUGACGCUCAGGUGCGAAAGCGUGGGGAGCAAACAGGAUUAGAUACCCGUGUAGUC
rnacentral:rRNA from 1 species